rnacentral:tRNA from 5 species
GCCGCCUUAGCUCAGUGGUAGAGCACUUCCAUGGUAAGGAAGGGGUCUCGAGUUCAAAUCUCGAAGGCGGCUCCA